UGAAUCUUAUGGGUGGGUCCAGGCUGGACAGGACUGGCUGCUGCUGGGAGGAAGGGGGACGUCUGGCUGGGCCUCCUUCUGCUCCUCAGUUUUCAUUCCCGGCUGCACAUGCCGUAGCCCCCUCAUCUGAUAACCCUCUCAUUACCCCCUGAAGGACCCACAUAUCCAGGUCACCUGACAUCUAUUAUCCAGAUCAUCGAUGUGACCAGACCCCCUGGCGCCCAUCCUCUAGACCAGCAGUCACCAACUGGUGGUCCGUGAGGUCCGAAAGGUUGACGACUGCUGCCUAGACCACCUGGCACCCAUCACCCAGCCUGCCAUCUGACUGACAACCGUCCUGGACCACUCCUCGGGCUAAGAAUGCAGGGCUGCCUAUUCUCAAGAAUGCAUUUUACUACAAAAGAUCUUAACUUUUCUUUCUUCUUCAGAACACUUCUGGGUUUUUGCAUAGCUGUUCCCAGUGUGCAAAUUAAGACCCUUAAUAAAUCUAUCAUUUAUUUUUA